UACUUUAGGCGCAGAGGCUAUGGGUCUACUUAGAACUCCACAGUUAAUUAUGCUUAGGUGAGACUAGUUCUCGGAUGGGUGACUUCGUGGGAAGUCUCCAU
rnacentral:rRNA from 1 species